UUUUUUUUUUUUUUUUUUGGGAAAAAAACUAGCAACUGAUAUCAAAGCAUAUAAGAACCAAAAAGAAAAGAACAGUAGUUGGUAUAACAAAGCACUAGCUUUUCUACAAAGCUGAUAUAUUAAGAAUUGCCAAAAUUUGGGUUCUGCAGGUAAAAUUCAUUGUACCGCUUCUCCACAGUGCAGUAAUUAGCCUAUCAGUGCUGUUUCUUCAUAAUCGAUUGCUCUGUAAGGUACUUGCCCGUGUAGAAGCCUGCAGAGUACCAAGCAUUUAAAACAACACUCAGGUCUGUUCCAGAGCAUGUGCUUUGAGAAAUUUCCUCACCAUCUUUUCCUUUCCCUUUCUCUUCUGUUCCAGAAUUAAUGGAUGACAAUGUCUUCAUAGAAGAUAUUGCUCUUUCUGCAGCUUCCAUUGCUGUUUUAACAAUGUCACCAUCUUCGUGAGGGGAAUGCUUUGCAGGAACUGUCGCCCCAGAAGAAUUAGCAAACAUUUUCUCAGCACAUGUUCCACAGAAAGAACAAGUAGGAAAUGACAUGCAAGGUGCUGCUGAGCCAUGACAAGCAUAUGGGCAACAUGAACAGGCAACAGUUGAGAAAGAAGGUUGGGUUGUAGGGACUGAAAGAUCAUCAUAAGUACAGCAGGUACCCCACUGUUGGCUAGAAUCAUAACAUUCAGCAGAACAUUGGUAACCAUAACCGCCAAGUUGCUGAAGCUGACGCAGAAUCCCUUGCCUCUUUUCCUCAAGAUCAUAGUAUUGCUGACAGAGUAGUUGAUAGCCUUCCCAAUUUUGUGAAUACGAAUACUCAUUGACUGCUUGCUUGUGUUGACCACUUGACGAAUCUAUACAGGGUUCAGGCUCAACUGAAGACAAACAAUGAUUUUCCCGAACAGGUGUGAGAUUUUUAGUCUCUCCCAAUUCUUCUGCAGCAUUUGAGGUGACAUUGCCAUUUUCAUCUGCAUCACUUACAGCCCCAUGAAUUUCAUCUGCAAAAGCAGAGCCACCGUUUCCUUCAUCAAUCAAAUUUUCCUUGAUUUUCUUACCAUGCAUUUUCUUGUACUUGGACAUAGCAUCUUCGAAUGCGUUGAUAAGAGCAGAAUCAUCCCAUAGGUCUCCUUCUGUCCCCAAUCUCUCCUAUCCGCUCUGGGCUGAGAUGAG
rnacentral:misc_RNA from 1 species